rnacentral:tRNA from 1 species
CGCGGGGUAGAGCAGUUGGUAGCUCGUCGGGCUCAUAACCCGGAGGCCGUAGGUUCAAGUCCUACUCCCGCAACCA